GAGCUCAGAGAAGAUGGUCAUCUAGAC
rnacentral:piRNA from 1 species